AAAGAAUUAGUUAAUUUAUAACAUAAAUAUGUCAAAUUUAAAUUAUUAUAGAAUAUAAUAUUCUUUU
rnacentral:tRNA from 1 species